AAACUUUCAACAACGGAUCUCUUGGUUCUGGCAUCGAUGAAGAACGCAGCGAAAUGCGAUAAGUAAUGUGAAUUGCAGAAUUCAGUGAAUCAUCGAAUCUUUGAACGCACAUUGCGCCUCCUGGUAUUCCGGGAGGCAUGCCUGUUCGAGCGUCAUUA
rnacentral:rRNA from 1 species